UCGGCCCCGGUUCACGCUGCCGCCUCCGACGGCGACCCGGGUCC
rnacentral:ncRNA from 1 species